rnacentral:rRNA from 1 species
UACAGAGGUCCCAAGCGUUGUUCGGAUUCAUUGGGCGUAAAGGGUGCGUAGGUGGCGCCGUAAGUCAGGUGUGAAAUCUCGGGGCUUAACUCCGAAACUGCAUUUGAUACUGCGGUGCUUGAGGACUGGAGAGGAGACUGGAAUUUACGGUGUAGCAGUGAAAUGCGUAGAGACCGUAAGGAAGACCAGUGGCGAAGGCGGGUCUCUGGACAGUUCCUGACACUGAGGCGCGAAGGCCAGGGGAGCAAACAGG